AUUGAACGCUGGCGGCAGGCUUAACACAUGCAAGUCGAGCGGGGACUUCGGUCCUAGCGGCGAACGGGUGAGGAAUGCUUGGGAAUCUGCCCAGUAGCGGGGGAUAACGUUUCGAAAGGAACGCUAAUACCGCAUACGCCCUACGGGGGAAAGGGGGGGAUCUUCGGGCCUCUCACUAUUGGAUGAGCCCAAGUCGGAUUAGCUAGUUGGUGGGGUAAAGGCCUACCAAGGCGACGAUCCGUAGCUGGUCUGAGAGGAUGAUCAGCCACACUGGAACGGGGACACGGGCCAAACUCCUACGGGAGGCAGCAGUGGGGAAUAUUGGACAAUGGGCGAAAGCCUGAUCCAGCCAUGCCGCGUGUGUGAAGAAGGCCUUCGGGUUGUAAAGCACUUUAAGCGAGGAGGAAUGGCUGAGGGUUAAUAACCUUCAGCAGUGACGUUACUCGCAGAAUAAGCACCGGCUAACUCUGUGCCAGCCGCCGCCGUAACAC
rnacentral:rRNA from 1 species